GCCCUUCGGGGCAUAUGGUCAAUCUGAAAAUAUACAGAAAAGAUUAGCUGGCCCCUGCACUAAGGAUGAUACGCUCAACCAAAGAGAACAUACCCAUAUUU
rnacentral:snRNA from 1 species